GGAUAACCUACCCUUAGGACUGGGAUAACCCUGGGAAACUGGGGAUAAUACCGGAUAGGCAAUUAUUCCUGUAAUGGUUUUUUGUUUAAAUGUUUUUUCGCCUAAGGAUGGGUCUGCGGCCGAUUAGGUAGUUGGUUAGGUAAUGGCUUACCAAGCCGUUGAUCGGUACGGGUUGUGAGAGCAAGAGCCCGGAGAUGGAACCUGAGACAAGGUUCCAGGCCCUACGGGGUGCAGCAGGCGCGAAACCUCCGCAAUGUGAGAAAUCGCGACGGGGGGAUCCCAAGUGCCAUUCUUAACGGGAUGGCUUUUCAUUAGUGUAAAGAGCUUUUGGAAUAAGAGCUGGGCAAGACCGGUGCCAGCCGCCGCGGUAACACCGGCAGCUCUAGUGGUAGCAAUUUUUAUUGGGCCUAAAGCGUCCAUAGCCGGUUUAAUAAGUCUCUGGUGAAAUCCUGUAGCUUAACUGUGGGAAUUGCUGGAGAUACUAUUAGACUUGAGACCGGGAGAGGUUAGAGGUACUCCCAGGGUAGAGGUGAAAUUCUGUAAUCCUGGGAGGACCGCCUGUUGCGAAGGCGUCUAACUGGAACGGUUCUGACGGUGAGGGACGAAAGUUAGGGGCGCGAACCGGAUUAGAUACCCGGGUAGUCCUAACUGUAAACGAUGCGGACUUGGUGUUGGGGUGGCUUUGAGCUGCUUCAGUGCCGAAGGGAAGCUGUUAAGUCCGCCGCCUGGGAAGUACGGUCGCAAGACUGAAACUUAA
rnacentral:rRNA from 1 species